rnacentral:rRNA from 1 species
AUUGAACGCUGGCGGCAGGCUUAACACAUGCGAGUCGAGCGGGGUGAAGUGCUUCGGUACUGAUCCUAGCGGCGGACGGGUGAGUAAUGCCUAGGAAUCUGCCAUUUAGUGGGGGACAACAUUCCGAAAGGGAUGCUAAUACCGCAUACGUCCUACGGGAGAAAGCAGGGGAUCUUCGGACCUUGCGCUAAAUGAUGAGCCUAAGUCAGAUUAGCUAGUUGGUGGGGUAAAGGCCAACCAUGGCGACGAUCUGUAGCGGGUCUGAGAGGAUGAUCCGCCACACUGGGACUGAGACACGGCCCAGACUCCUACGGGAGGCAGCAGUGGGGAAUAUUGGACAAUGGGCGGAAGCCUGAUCCAGCCAUGCCGCGUGUGUGAAGAAGGCCUUUUGGUUGUAAAGCACUUUAAGCGAGGAGGAGGCUACCUGGAUUAAUACUCUGGGAUAGUGGACGUUACUCGCAGAAUAAGCACCGGCUAACUCUGUGCCAGCCGCCGCGGUAAAAC